GAUGAACGCUGGCGGCGUGCUUAACACAUGCAAGCCGAGCGAGUGAGUUCUUCGGAACGAUCUAGCGGCGGACGGGUGAGUAACACGUGGGCAACCUGCCUCAUAGAGGGGAAUAGCCUCCCGAAAGGGAGAUUAAUACCGCAUAAAAUUAUCGAGUGGCAUCACACGAUAAUCAAAGGAGUAAUCCGCUAUGAGAUGGGCCCGCGGCGCAUUAGCUAGUUGGUGAGGUAACGGCUCACCAAGGCGACGAUGCGUAGCCGACCUGAGAGGGUGAUCGGCCACAUUGGGACUGAGACACGGCCCAGACUCCUACGGGAGGCAGCAGUGGGGAAUAUUGCACAAUGGGGGAAACCCUGAUGCAGCAACGCCGCGUGAGUGAUGAAGGUCUUCGGAUUGUAAAGCUCUGUCUUUGGGGACGAUAAUGACGGUACCCAAGGAGGAAGCCGCGGCUAACUACGUGCCAGCCGCCGCAGUAA
rnacentral:rRNA from 1 species